rnacentral:rRNA from 1 species
UACGAAGGGGGGCUAGCGUUGUUCGGAAUUACUGGGCGUAAAGCGCGCGCAGGCGGUCCUUUAAGUCAGGGGUGAAAGCCCAGAGCUCAACUCUGGGAACGGCCUUUGAAACUAGAGGACUUGGAUACGGGAGAGGUGAGUGGAAUUCCGAGUGUAGAGGUGAAAUUCGUAGAUAUUCGGAAGAACACUAGUGGCGAAGGCGGCUCACUGGCCCGUUACCGACGCUCAGGCGCGACAGCGUUGGGGGAGCAAACAGG